GACGUAGGUGGCGAACGUUAUCCGGAAUCAUUGGGCGUAAAGGGCGCGUAGGUGGCCCGGUCAGUUCGUGGUGAAAGCGCGGGGCUCAACCCUGCGUCGGCCAUGAAUACUGCCGCGGCUGGAGCACUGUAGAGGCAGGCGGAAUUCCGGGUGUAGCGGUGGAAUGCGUAGAGAUCCGGAAGAACACCGGUGGCGAAGGCGGCCUGCUGGGCAGUUGCUGACACUGAGGCGCGAUAGCGUGGGGAGCAAACAGG
rnacentral:rRNA from 1 species